rnacentral:rRNA from 1 species
UGUCGGGAGUUAAGAAAUGCAAGGAUGUUAAUAGCAUCUUUGUUUGACUAAGGCUCCGGAGGAAGCCACGGCUAACUCUGUGCCAGCAGCCGCGGUAAUACAGAGGCGGCAAGCGUUGUUCGGAAUUAUUGGGCGUAAAGAGCACGUAGGCGGCUGUGUAAGUCGGUUGUGAAAGCCUUCCGCUUAACGGAAGAACGGCAUCCGAUACUGCAUAGCUCGAGUGCGGGAGGGGAGAGUGGAACUUCUGGUU